GCACCCGUAGCUCAGCUGGAUAGAGCGCUGCCCUCCGAAGGCAGAGGUCGCACGUUCGAAUCGUGUCGGGUGCGCCA
rnacentral:tRNA from 1 species